AAAGUUUGAUCCUGGCUCAGGAUGAACGCUAGCUACAGGCUUAACACAUGCAAGUCGAGGGGCAGCACCAUCAAAGCUUGCUUUGAUGGAUGGCGACCGGCGCACGGGUGAGUAACACGUAUCCAACCUGCCGACAACACUGGGAUAGCCUUUCGAAAGAAAGAUUAAUACCGGAUGGCAUAAUUAUUCCGCAUGGGAUAAUUAUUAAAGAAUUUCGGUUGUCGAUGGGGAUGCGUUCCAUUAGGCAG
rnacentral:rRNA from 1 species